UCCCUGGUGGUCCAGUGGCUAAGACUCUGUUCUCCCAGUGCAGGGGGCCCCAGGUUCAAUUCCUGGUCAGGGAA
rnacentral:tRNA from 1 species